rnacentral:rRNA from 1 species
GAUGAACGCUGGCGGCGUGCUUAACACAUGCAAGUCGAACGAUGAAGCCCAGCUUGCUGGGUGGAUUAGUGGCGAACGGGUGAGUAACACGUGAGUAACCUGCCCUUGACUCUGGGAUAAGCCUGGGAAACUGGGUCUAAUACCGGAUAGGAACGUCCACCGCAUGGUGGGUGUUGGAGAGAUUUAUCGGUAAUGGAUGGACUCGCGGCCUAUCAGCUUGUUGGUGAGGUAAUGGUUCACCAAGGCGACGACGGGUAGCCGGCCUGAGAGGGUGACCGGCCACCAGGGGACUGAGAGACGGCCCAGACUCGAACGUGAGGCAGCAGUGGGGAAUAUUGCACAAUGGGCGAAAGCCUGAUGCAGAGACGCCGCGUGAGGGAAGACGGCUUUCGGGUUGUGAACCUCUUUCAGUAGGGAAGAAGCGAUAGUGACGGUACCUGAAGAAGAAGCACCGGCUAACUACGUG